UUGAUCGUAUAUUUUUUUAUCCUUUAUAAUAAACCAUACAAA
rnacentral:sRNA from 1 species